GAUGAACGCUGGCGGCGUGCCUAAUACAUGCAAGUCGAGCGAACAGACGAGGAGCUUGCUCCUCUGACGUUAGCGGCGGACGGGUGAGUAACACGUGGAUAACCUACCUAUAAGACUGGGAUAACUUCGGGAAACCGGAGCUAAUACCGGAUAAUAUAUUGAACCGCAUGGUUCAAUAGUGAAAGACGGUUUUGCUGUCACUUAUAGAUGGAUCCGCGCCGCACUAGCUAGUUGGUAAGGUAACGGCUUACCAAGGCAACGAUGCGUAGCCGACCUGAGAGGGUGAUCGGCCACACUGGAACUGAGACACGGUCCAGACUCCUACGGGAGGCAGCAGUAGGGAAUCUUCCGCAAUGGGCGAAAGCCUGACGGAGCAACGCCGCGUGAGUGAUGAAGGUCUUCGGAUCGUAAAACUCUGUUAUUAGGGAAGAACAAAUGUGUAAGUAACUAUCCACGUCUUGACGGUACCUAAUCAGAAAGCCACGGCUAACUACGUG
rnacentral:rRNA from 1 species